rnacentral:rRNA from 1 species
AUUGAACGCUGGCGGCAGGCCUAACACAUGCAAGUCGAACGAGUGGCGGACGGGUGAGUAAUGUCUGGGAAACUGCCCGAUGGAGGGGGAUAACUACUGGAAACGGUAGCUAAUACCGCAUACCAUCGGAUGUGCCCAGAUGGGAUUAGCUAGUAGGUGGGGUAACGGCUCACCUAGGCGACGAUCCCUAGCUGGUCUGAGAGGAUGACAAGCCACACUGAGCCUGGGACACGGUCCAGACUCCUACGGGAGGCAGCAGUGGGUAAUAUUGAACAUUGGGCGCAAAGCUGAUGCAGCCAUGCCGCGUGUAUGAAGAAGGCCUUCGGGUUGUAAAGUACUUUCAGAGAGGAGGCGUUACUCGCAGAAGAAGCACCGGCUAACGCCGUGCCAGCAGCCGCGGUAAUAC